rnacentral:lncRNA from 1 species
GGACUCCGUGGCGCUCCCACCGAGCACAAUGCUCGAAUUUGCCCAGAAGUAUUUCCGAGACCCUCGGAGGCGUCCCCGCUGUGAUGAGGUUCAUGGGAGAUGCCCCACUGAAGGGCCAGAAUGAACUGGAUGUACUCUGCACCCUCCUGAAGUUUUGUGGCGAUCAUGAGGUCAUGAGGGACGAAUGCUACUGCCAGAUUGUGAAGCAGAUCACAGACAACACCAGCUCUAAGCAGUGAGUCGCCUAAGCCUCCCAGCCCUGAUGUGCGUUCACUCCCUCAUCUCAGAACUUCUCCUUCCUCGGCCUCGCUCCUCUCCCCUUCUUCCCUGCUUUAUGUUUUGGUAGUUGCUUGGUCUGAGCAUGCCAUUUCUCCUCUUUCUUCCUCAAUGAAAAAGGCAACCCUGUUUCAUUGCC